GACGAACGCUGACGGCGUGCUUCACACAUGCAAGUCGAAGGGAGUGGCAAACGGGUGAGUAACACGUGAGUAACCUGCUCUUUUCUUUGGGAUACGCCUGGGAAACUGGGUCUAAUCCUGGAUGGAUUUGGAUGGGCUCGCGGCUUUUCGUCUUGGUGGUGUGGUGAUGGGUUACCAAGGCUUUGUCGGGUAGCCGGACUGAGAGGGUGGUCGGUCAUACUGGGACGGAGAUACGGCCCAGACUCCUACGCGUGGCAGCAGUGGGGGAUAUUGCACAAUGGACGAAAGUCUGAUGCAGCGACGUCGUGUGGGGGAUGAAGGCCUUCGGGUUGUAAACUCCUUUCGCCCGCGGAAUGGUAGUGGGUAAAGAAGCGCCGGCUAACUACGGGCCAGCAGCCGCGGUAAUAC
rnacentral:rRNA from 1 species